rnacentral:rRNA from 1 species
GUGGGGAAUAUUGGACAAUGGGCGCAAGCCUGAUCCAGCAAUGCCGCGUGGGUGAAGAAGGUCUUCGGAUCGUAAAGCCCUUUCGACAGGGACGAUGAUGACGGUACCUGUAGAAGAAGCCCCGGCUAACUUCGUGCCAGCAGCCUCGGUAAUACGAAGGGGGCUAGCGUUACUCGGAAUUACUGGGCGUAAAGGGCGCGUAGGCGGCUCUGUUAGUCAGGCGUGAAAUUCCUGGGCUUAACCUGGGGACUGCGCUUGAUACUGCAGGGCUUGAGGCCGAGAGAGGGUGGUGGAAUUCCCAGUGUAGAGGUGAAAUUCGUAGAUAUUGGGAAGAACACCGGUGGCGAAGGCGACCACCUGGCUCGGUUCUGACGCUGAGGCGCGACAGCGUGGGGAGCAAACAGGAUUAGAAACCCGUGUAGUCC